AUUGAACGCUGGCGGCAUGCUUUACACAUGCAAGUCGAACGGCAGCGCGGGGCAACCUGGCGGCGAGUGGCGAACGGGUGAGUAAUAUAUCGGAACGUAUCCAAGAGUGGGGGAUAACGUAGCGAAAGUUACGCUAAUACCGCAUACGAUCUAAGGAUGAAAGCAGGGGAUCUUCGGACCUUGUGCUCCUGGAGCGGCCG
rnacentral:rRNA from 1 species